UGAAUACGAGAUGCUACGGCGUCGAAGCAGUCUAUGUCAUACUUCCAAGAAAAGCUUGCACUGUCAUAAACAAAUAAUGCCUGUACCAUAACCGACACAGGUGGGUAGGUAGAGUAUACUAAGGGGCGCGAGAUAACUCUCUCUAAGGAACUCGGCAAAAUGACUCCGUAACUUCGGGAGAAGGAGUGCCUUAUUUAUAAGGUUGCAAUAACAAGAUCCAAGCAACUGUUUACCAAAAACACAGGUCUCCGCUAAGUCGUAAGACGAUGUAUGGGGGCUGACGCCUGCCCAGUGCCAGAAGGUUAAAGAAGUUGGUUAGCAUCCGCGAAGCUGAUAACUGAAGCCCUGGUGAACGGCGGCCGUAACACUAACGGUCCUAAGGUAGCGAAAUUCCUUGUCGGGUAAGUUCCGACCCGCACGAAAGGCGUAAUGAUUUGGAUACUGUCUCGGAGAGGGGCUCGGUGAAAUAGACUUGUCUGUGAAGAUGCGGACUACCUGCACCAGGACAGAAAGACCCUAUGAAGCUUUACUGUAACCUGAAAUUGAAAUUGGACUUUACUUGCGCAGUAUAGGUGGGAGGCGUUGAGAAUAUUCUUGCGGGAUUAUUGGAGCCAUCAGUGAGAUACCACUCUUGUAAUGUUAGAUUUCUAACUUUGUAUCAUUAUCUGGUCAAAGGACAGUUUCAGGCGGGCAGUUUGACUGGGGCGGUCGCCUCCUAAACGGUAACGGAGGCGCACAAAGGUUUCCUCUGAACGGGUAGAAAUCGUAUCUAGAGUGUAAAGGCAUAAGGAAGCUUGACUGUGAGACCUACAAGUCGAGCAGGGACGAAAGUCGGUCUUAGUGAUCUGACGGUGCUGAGUGGAAAGGCCGUCACUCAACGGAUAAAAGUUACUCUAGGAUAACAGGCUGAUCUCCCCCAAGAGUUCACAUCGACGGGGAGGUUUGGCACCUCGAUGUCGGCUCAUCGCAUCCUGGGGCGGUAGUACGUCCCAAGGGUUGGGCUGUUCGCCCAUGAAAGCGGUACGCGAGCUGGGUUCAGAACGUCGUGAGACAGUUCGGUCCAUAUCCGGUGUAGGCGUUAGAAUAUUGAGAGGAGCCUUCUUUAGUACGAGAGGACCGAGAAGGACAUACCUCUGGUGUACCAGUUAUCGUGCCAACGGUAAACGCUGGGUAGCUAUGUGUGGAGUGGAUAACCGCUGAAAGCAUCUAAGUGGGAAGCCCACCUCAAGAUAAG
rnacentral:rRNA from 1 species